AGGUAUUAGCUCACGACCUUUCCUCCCUGCUGAAAGUGCUUUACAACCCGAAGGCCUUCUUCACACACGCGGCAUGGCUGCAUCAGGGUUUCCCCCAUUGUGCAAUAUUCCCCACUGCUGCCUCCCGUAGGAGUCUGGACCGUGUCUCAGUCCCAGUGUGGCUGAUCAUCCUCUCAAACCAGCUACGGAUCGUCGCCUUGGUGAGCCGUUACCUCACCAACUAGCUAAUCCCACCUGGG
rnacentral:rRNA from 1 species